GCCUACGGGAGGCAGCAGUGGGGAAUAUUGGACAAUGGGCGCAAGCCUGAUCCAGCAAUGCCGCGUGUGUGAAGAAGGCCUUCGGGUUGUAAAGCACUUUUAUCAGGAGCGAAAUACUACGGGUUAAUAACCCGUGGGGCUGACGGUACCUGAGGAAUAAGCACCGGCUAACUUCGUGCCAGCAGCCGCGGUAAU
rnacentral:rRNA from 1 species